rnacentral:rRNA from 1 species
CCUACGGGGGGCUGCAGUGAGGAAUAUUGGUCAAUGGACGAGAGUCUGAACCAGCCAAGUAGCGUGAAGGAUGACUGCCCUAUGGGUUGUAAACUUCUUUUAUAUGGGAAUAAAAUGUUCCACGUGUGGGAUUUUGUAUGUACCAUAUGAAUAAGGAUCGGCUAACUCCGUGCCAGCAGCCGCGGUAAUACGGAGGAUCCGAGCGUUAUCCGGAUUUAUUGGGUUUAAAGGGAACGUAGGUGGAUUGUUAAGUCAGUUGUGAAAGUUUGCGGCUCAACCGUAAAAUUGCAGUUGAAACUGGCAGUCUUGAGUACAGUAGAGGUGGGCGGAAUUCGUGGUGUAGCGGUGAAAUGCUUAGAUAUCACGAAGAACUCCGAUUGCGAAGGCAGUUCACUGGACUGCAACUGACACUGAGGCUCGAAAGUGUGGGUAUCAAACAGGAUUAGAUACCCUUGUAGUC